AAGCUAUGGUUGGGACAUUGCUUAAGAAGGAUCUUAAACCUCUCCCACACAUCCACUAGGGUCUCACCAUCCUUUUGCAUGAAGUUGGUGAUGUCACAUCUGGUUU